GACGAACGCGGCGGCGUGCCUAAUACAUGCAAGUAGAACGCUGAAGGAGGAGCUUGCUUCUCUGGAUGAGUUGCGAACGGGUGAGUAACGCGUAGGUAACCUGCCUGGUAGCGGGGGAUAACUAUUGGAAACGAUAGCUAAUACCGCAUAAUAUUGACUAUUGCAUGAUAGUUGAUUAAAAGGUGCAAUUGCACCACUACCAGAUGGACCUGCGUUGUAUUAGCUAGUUGGUGAGGUAACGGCUCACCAAGGCGACGAUACAUAGCCGACCUGAGAGGGUGAUCGGCCACACUGGGACUGAGACACGGCCCAGACUCCUACGGGAGGCAGCAGUAGGGAAUCUUUGGCAAUGGACGGAAGUCUGAUCCGAGCAACGCCGCGUGAGUGAAGAAGGUUUUCGGAUCGUAAAGCUCUGUGUAAGAGAAGAACGAGUGUGAGAGUGGAAAGUUC
rnacentral:rRNA from 1 species